AAGAGGCAUGAUUGUUUUUCCAAUGUAUUAAUUGUAUAUAGAUUUCUAUUGACUAUUCCUGUGAUAGUUGCAUCAGCAGAAAGAAGUUUUUCUAAAUUGAAGCUAUUGAAGUUCUAUAUACGUACUACUAUGACACAACAAAGACUCAAUAAUUUGGCCAUAAUAGCACUUGAGAGAAGUGUUGGAUUGAUUACGAGGAUAUAA
rnacentral:rRNA from 1 species